GCGCGGGUGCUGUAAUCGGUAGCCAGGCCAGCUUGAGGUGCUGGUGUCCGCAAGGACGUGGAGGUUCGAGUCCUCUCCCGCGCACCA
rnacentral:tRNA from 1 species